GCAUCAGUAGCUCAGUUGGAUAGAGCAGUUGGCUACGAACCAGCGUGCCGGGGGUUCGAAUCCUCUCUGAUGCACCA
rnacentral:tRNA from 1 species